UGGGGAAUAUUGCACAAUGGAGGGAACUCUGAUGCAGCGACGCCGCGUGAACGAAGAAGGCUUUCGAGUCGUAAAGUUCUUUUAUAUGGGAAGAUAAUGACGGUACCAUAAGAAAAAGCCCCGGCUAACUACGUGCCAGCAGCCGCGGUAAUACGUAGGGGGCUAGCGUUGUCCGGAAUCACUGGGCGUAAAGGGUUCGCAGGCGGAAAUGCAAGUCAGGUGUAAAAGGCAGUAGCUUAACUACUGUAAGCAUUUGAAACUGCAUAUCUUGAGAAGAGUAGAGGUAAGUGGAAUUUUUAGUGUAGCGGUGAAAUGCGUAGAUAGUAAAAAGAAUACCGGUGGCGAAGGCGACUUACUGGGCUCAUUCUGACGCUGAGGAACGAAAGCGUGGGUAGCAAACAGG
rnacentral:rRNA from 2 species